AUUGAACGCUGGCGGCAGGCCUAACACAUGCAAGUCGAACGGUAACAGGAAGAAGCUUGCUUCUUUGCUGACGAGUGGCGGACGGGUGAGUAAUGUCUGGGAAACUGCCUGAUGGAGGGGGAUAACUACUGGAAACGGUAGCUAAUACCGCAUAACGUCGCAAGACCAAAAAGGGGGACCUUCGGGCCUCUUGCCAUCGGAUGUGUCCAGAUGGGAUUAGCUAGUAGGUGGGGUAACGGCUCACCUAGGCGACGAUCCCUAGCUGGUCUGAGAGGAUGACCAGCCACACUGGAACUGAGACACGGUCCAGACUCCUACGGGAGGCAGCAGUGGGGAAUAUUGCACAAUGGGCGCAAGCCUGAUGCAGCCAUGCCGCGUGUAUGAAGAAGGCCUUCGGGUUGUAAAGUACUUUCAGCGGGGAGGAAGGGAGUAAAGUUAAUACCUUUGCUCAUUGACGUUACCCGCAGAAGAAGCACCGGCUAACUCCGUG
rnacentral:rRNA from 1 species